rnacentral:rRNA from 1 species
UACGUAGGGUGCGAGCGUUGUCCGGAAUUAUUGGGCGUAAAGGGCUCGUAGGCGGUUUGUCGCGUCGGGAGUGAAAACUCAGGGCUUAACCCUGAGCCUGCUUCCGAUACGGGCAGACUAGAGGUAUGCAGGGGAGAACGGAAUUCCUGGUGUAGCGGUGAAAUGCGCAGAUAUCAGGAGGAACACCGGUGGCGAAGGCGGUUCUCUGGGACGGUACUGACGCUGAGACGCGAAAGCGUGGGGAGCGAACAGG